GCGGGGUCGUCGCACAGAGGCAGUGCGCCUGCUCCAUUGCAGGAGGACGCCCGUUCGAAUCCGGUCGCCCCGCC
rnacentral:tRNA from 3 species